rnacentral:rRNA from 1 species
GAUGAACGCUGGCGGCGUGCCUAAUACAUGCAAGUCGAGCGAACAGACGAGGAGCUUGCUCCUCUGACGUUAGCGGCGGACGGGUGAGUAACACGUGGAUAACCUACCUAUAAGACUGGGAUAACUUCGGGAAACCGGAGCUAAUACCGGAUAAUAUAUUGAACCGCAUGGUUCAAUAGUUAAAGACGGUUUUGCUGUCACUUAUAGAUGGUUCCGCGCCGCAUUAGCUAGUUGGUAAGGUAACGGCUUACCAAGGCAACGAUGCGUAGCCGACCUGAGAGGGUGAUCGGCCACACUGGAACUGAGACACGGUCCAGACUCCUACGGGAGGCAGCAGUAGGGAAUCUUCCGCAAUGGGCGAAAGCCUGACGGAGCAACGCCGCGUGAGUGAUGAAGGUCUUCGGAUCGUAAAACUCUGUUAUUAGGGAAGAACAAAUGUGUAAGUAACUAUGCACGUCUUGACGGUACCUAAUCAGAAAGCCACGGCUAACUACGUG